UUUAUGGAGAGUUUGAUCCUGGCUCAGGAUGAACGCUGGCGGCGUGCCUAAUACAUGCAAGUCGAGCGAACGGAUAAGGAGCUUGCUCCUUUGAAGUUAGCGGCGGACGGGUGAGUAACACGUGGGUAACCUACCUAUAAGACUGGAAUAACUUCGGGAAACCGGAGCUAAUGCCGGAUAACAUUUGGAACCGCAUGGUUCUAAAGUAAAAGAUGGUUUUGCUAUCACUUAUAGAUGGACCCGCGCCGUAUUAGCUAGUUGGUAAGGUAACGGCUUACCAAGGCAACGAUACGUAGC
rnacentral:rRNA from 1 species